rnacentral:rRNA from 1 species
CCUACGGGAGGCAGCAGUGGGGAAUAUUGCACAAUGGGCGAAAGCCUGAUGCAGCAACGCCGCGUGAGCGAUGAAGGCCUUUGGGUCGUAAAGCUCUGUCCUUGGGGAAGAAAAAAAUGACGGUACCCUUGGAGGAAGCCCCGGCUAACUACGUGCCAGCAGCCGCGGUAAUACGUAGGGGGCAAGCGUUAUCCGGAAUUAUUGGGCGUAAAGAGUGCGUAGGUGGUCAUGUAAGCGCAGGGUGAAAGGCAAUAGCUCAACUAUUGUAAGCCUUGCGAACUGCAUGACUUGAGUGCAGGAGAGGAAAGUGGAAUUCCUAGUGUAGCGGUGAAAUGCGUAGAUAUUAGGAGGAACACCAGUGGCGAAGGCGACUUUCUGGACUGUAACUGACACUGAGGCACGAAAGCGUGGGGAGCAAACAGGAUUAGAUACCCUGGUAGUCCACGCCGUAAACGAUGAGCACUAGGUGUCGGGGUCGCAAGACUUUCGUGCCCCCAAUUUAACGCAAUAAUUGCUCCGCCUGGGGGGAGUACGCACGCAAGGUUAAAACUCAAAGGAAUUGACGGGGGACCCGCACAAGCAGCGGAGCAUGGGGGUUUAAUUUGAAGCAACCGAAGAACCUUACCAGGAACGGACAUCCCCCUGACAGUCCCUUAACCGGGGAUUUCCUUCGGGCAGAGGGACAGGUGGGGCAUGGUUGUCCGUCAGCUCGUGUCGUGAGCUGUGGGGUUAGUCCCGCAAGGAGCGCAACCCUUGUCUUUAGUUGGCCAUCAUUAAGUUGGGCACUCUAGAGAAGACUGCCGAGGAUAACUCGAGGAAGGUGGGGAUGACGGUCAAAUCAUCCCAUGCCCCUUAUGUUCCGGGGCUACACACGGCUACAAUGGCUGGUACAAAGAGAAGCAAGACGGUGACGUGGAGCAAAUCUCAAAAACCAGUCCCAGUUCGGAUUGUAGGCUGAAACUCGCGUCAUGAAGUUGGAGUUGCUAGUAAUCGCGGAUCAGAAGGCCGCGGUGA